GUUUACGGCCACACCACCCUGAAGGCGCCCCCCCCCCAUCUUGUCUGAUCUCAGAAGCUAAGCAGGGUCAGGCAUGGUUAGUACUUGGAUGGGAGACCACUUGGGACUACUGGGUGCUGUAGGCU
rnacentral:rRNA from 1 species